GAAUGUGAGUGCAAUCUGGCUGUGACACAUGUCACCCCACUGAUCACUAGGGUUGAUUUACCUGAUCUGACUGGCCAGGCAGGUGGCCCCUUCCUACUUCAUUGCUUCAUGUGCAGCACUCCCAAAGCUGCACAAAGAGAACAACCUUCCCCAAUAGAGAAGGAUGUUCUUUGGUCAAGGUUAUACAAGUAGAUGCAUUCCCCUGCUAGAACCUCCAAACAAGUUCUCAAUGUCCAUUUUUAGGAGAACAUAGGGUAGUCACGAUCCCAAGACACCAGACACUUCCAAAUAAGUUGCUGCAUAUAGCAGUUUAACUUUCUUU
ensembl:misc_RNA 7SK 7SK RNA